CUGUCUUUAGCAGAAAUGGCUGAUGGUGAUGAGAAACUGGACAUUUCUCUCCUAGAGGCAGGUACCCUCCUUGAAGCCACGCCUUCCGUGCCAGUGUUUCAUUAGCAUAUUGAAGCCUCGGUUUGAAAUGAUGCCAGCAACCUUUCUAGAUUACUUCGCUAUCCGUGCUCCCCUGUUUCACCAUCUCUGAUCAAUUUUUUUUUCAUGCUUUUCUAACGUGGAUAAUUAUUAAGCGACAAAUCACUUUUCCUUUGGGUUUAAUCAAAAUAACUAGAUUUGUUUGUAGAGAGGCUCUAGUGCAAUUAGUCUGGUAACCAAUGUGAUAGGAUGAAUUUUGAUUUUAUGAUGGCAUUUCCCCACAUAAAUACAUGCGUGCUGGCUAUUCUAUUUAAAUAGCGGGGAGAAAGAAAAACAAAAGUAUCCUCUUAAUCUUACAAAGAGCUCCUAACACCUCCAUUUCAUAUAGAGUUUUUGGUGCAGAAAUCAUGGGGUCAAAAAUCAAACUUCUAAGACGUUUAAUGAGUCUUAAUUUAACGAGUUUCUGAGUUGAGCCUUUCCUUCCAUCCCCACAAGGUAAAUUUCUAUUUGGAUAUAAUUAUUAAUUAUUUGUUUUCAGAAGCAGAAUUGCUAUCAUUAUAUGUGACCAUAAGAUAUUAAUAAAUACUACUUGCGGUGUCACAUUUAAUCCAGAUCAAAUAAUCUUAAAGAUGAAAAGUUGUUUUCCAUAUUUUGCAGUCCCCUUAGUUUUUCUCUGAUAUUUGAUUCUCAUAAUACUGCCUUGAAGUUCCAAAACAAAGAGUAUUUCAGGAAUCAUUCAUAGAAUCAUUGGGUUGGGAGGGAACUUUGAGGUUGUCUAGUCCAACCCUCUGCCCAAGGCAGGAUUCUGACCGGUAGUUUUAAAAGUAGGAUCUCAAGACAGUUGUGUAAUUGUUCAAGACAUGUCUUCCUCCUUGCCUCAUGCCUCAAGAGCCCUUCUGUAUCAAAGGAGAACAGGCAUGUAGACAGGUAUCUUAGGUUCCCUUUCUCACUCAGUUUUUGUCCAGCAUUUCAAUACAGGUAGUCCUCGUCUUACAACAGUUCUUUUAGUGACCAAAAUUACGACUACACUGAAAAAAGUGACGUGACUGUUUUUCACCCUUGUAACUGUUGCAGACUGUUGAGGUCCCUUCCAACUCUAUUAUUAUUACUCUCUGUAUAACAUGCAGAUUACUCGGAUGCAUAGGGGAGUGAUAAUGUAUUUUAUUCUCUCUUUAGUGAACUAAGAGCCAUCAGCUCUGGGCGCUUAGGUUCCAUUCUCCUUGUUUUGCUAAUUUAUGGGGAUUAGGAAUUGUGAGCACUUUUUGGAGGAUACAAUUUUGAGAAGAUUCUUUCCACCUGCAUACGUGUCCUCUCCUUAUUCCAUCCCUUAAGAGGUGACAGGAUAUUUGGGGGCCUACGUUAAUAUUUCUUUUUUCAAACAAAAGCUGGCGGGAGCAUGGCUAGCAACUCUCCACUAAUCUUCAAUACACUCCGAUAUCUCACAAACACCACCUGAAUUUAUUUUGCAUUUGUGUUGGUUUUGAAGUCCCCAGUAUCUCCUACACUCGACAUGAGAAGAUCUGCUCAUACCUUAGAUCAGGGGUGUCCAACCUUGGCCAUGUUAAGAGCUGUGGACUUUGGAGUCUGAAGUCCACAGGUCUUAAAAUGACCAAGGUUGGACACCCCAGCUUUACAUGAAGGUAUACAUGAAAAAUUUCACAUACACGAAAAAUUCAUUGAUACCCUCGUAGACAUCUCUAGCAGAGUCUAAUGGUGUGUUUAGGAACCCUCUUUUUCAGCUUGUUAAAAAUAAUCAUUUCUGCAGUUCAAUAAUGUUUUUUUAUAAAUUUUUAAACUUAAUGCAGUACAACCAACUUAUCGCUGAAACGCAGCUGUCUUUUCUUGAGGACUUGAUAAACCUGGCUAGUGCUGUAGUCUGUAACAAUCCCACAUCUUCUUUUUGAGGCCAAUGGGAUUCUCCUCCACAAAUGAAAUUUCUUGGUCUUUUCCAUAAAUCUACAAAGCGUAUGUAUUGUAACCAUUAACCUACAAUCAGCAGUCUUACGAAUCUUUAAAAACAAUUGUACUCGUGUUGACUUUAACUGUGACUACUAUUAAAACUUUUUUCCGGGCGUCUUUUUUUAUAGGUUUUAUUAGGAAAAAUCAUCCCAUAUUUAGGUAAAAGUCUCAAUCUUAUGUAUAUAUGUUUUAUUAAUAUGUACAUAUUUAGCUAUUUUUUAAAUUACUAUGUUCUUAAUAAAACCAACAAGGGACUAGUUGUGAAAUGGUGCACUAAGAUUGUGUCGUGUUAUCAAUCUCUGGGAAUCUUUGUCAAGUUCAGCAAAACAAUAAUAAUAAUAAAUUGCUCUAAUUUAAA